GGAAGUGUAUUCUGUGAUUGUUCUGUGCAUCGAUCGAUAUACAGGUGAUUCAUCUGUUUAUCAGAUCUGCUCAGUGCCGACCCUCCGUCACACCUUUGUUUCCCAGUAAUUCUGCCUGGCAUUGCUGAGGCGACAUAGUUCGGUUCGGCUUUCCGAUGCCUCCGCCGAGGGACGACGGGUCCUUUCGGCGGCAGACGCACGGUUGUGUUCCAGUGAUCCGUCUCCCCCUUCGCUCCGCGGAUUUCGGUCAGGACAUUUGUCUACGACUGCAAUACGAUUUGAGCGGAGGCGGGCGGCGGCGCUGGUGCUGAAGCCGACGACAGUUGCCCGAGUCAGCCAUUUUCAAAAUUUCUUGGUUAAGUAACUUUGUAGCUUAGCUUCGGAUUUUCGUAAUAUAUUUGCUGUUCAGAACACUUCCAUGUACGCGGCAUUGCCGAGCAAUUUGCCCAUUCUUUUG
rnacentral:snRNA from 12 species